UACGUAGGGUGCAAGCGUUGUCCGGAAUUAUUGGGCGUAAAGAGCUCGUAGGCGGUUCGUCGCGUCGGCUGUGAAAACCCGGAGCUCAACUCCGGGCCUGCAGUCGAUACGGGCGGACUUGAGUGUUGCAGGGGAGACUGGAAUUCCUGGUGUAGCGGUGAAAUGCGCAGAUAUCAGGAGGAACACCGGUGGCGAAGGCGGGUCUCUGGGAAGCUACUGACGCUGAGAAGCGAAAGCGUGGGGAGCGAACAGG
rnacentral:rRNA from 1 species